rnacentral:rRNA from 1 species
GUGGGGAAUCUUGCGCAAUGGGCGAAAGCCUGACGCAGCCAUGCCGCGUGAAUGAUGAAGGUCUUAGGAUUGUAAAAUUCUUUCACCGGGGACGAUAAUGACGGUACCCGGAGAAGAAGCUCCGGCUAACUUCGUGCCAGCAGCCGCGGUAAUACGAAGGGGGCUAGCGUUGCUCGGAAUUACUGGGCGUAAAGGGAGCGUAGGCGGACAGCUUAGUCAGAGGUGAAAGCCCAGGGCUCAAGCUUGGAAUUGCCUUUUAUACUGGCGGUCUUGAGUUUGGGAGAGGUGAGUGGAACUCCGAGUGUAGAGGUGAAAUUCGUAGAUAUUCGGAAGAACACCAGUGGCGAAGGUGACUCACAGGCCCGUUACUGACGCUGAGGCGCGAAAGCGUUGGGAGCAAACAGGAUUAGAUACCCUUGUAGUCC